GCAGCAGCCGCGGGAAUACAGAGGGUGCGAGCGUUAAUCGGAUUUACUGGGCGUAAAGCGUGCGUAGGCGGCUUCUUAAGUCGGAUGUGAAAUCCCUGAGCUUAACUUAGGAAUUGCAUUCGAUACUGGGAAGCUAGAGUAUGGGAGAGGAUGGUAGAAUUCCAGGUGUAGCGGUGAAAUGCGUAGAGAUCUGGAGGAAUACCGAUGGCGAAGGCAGCCAUCUGGCCUAAUACUGACGCUGAGGUACGAAAGCAUGGGGAGCAAACAGGAUUAGAUACCCCAGUAGUCCCUGUCUCUUAUAC
rnacentral:rRNA from 1 species